rnacentral:tRNA from 4 species
GCGGGAGUAGCUCAGCGGUAGAGUCCCUGCCUUCCAAGCAGGCUGUCGCCGGUUCGAAUCCGGUCUCCCGCUCCA